ensembl:lncRNA
CUGUCUUUGACUUCAGGGAAUAGGGUGGUCAAUACACUGCAGAUCUAAUGAGAGUGACAGACAGAAACAUGGCUAGAAAAUAAGAGAAUCAGUACAACUACCAGCUAAAGAAGGGAAUAAAAAGAAGCCAGGCAGUGAUUGAGUGACUGUGUUCUUUAUAAUCGUGAGAGAUAUACAAACGAGAAAAACAAACAGAAAAAAACUAAAAAGGAGGUGGAGGGGAUGUGGAGGGGAUAUGGAGGGGAUAUGGAGGGGAUGUGGAGGGGAUAUGGAGGGGAUAUGGAGGGA